rnacentral:rRNA from 1 species
UUGGCCUCGCAAUAUGAGGCCUGGCUUUCGCGGCCGGCUGAAGUAUUUUUUUCACCCAUGUCUUUUGCGCACUUGUUGUUUCCUGGGCGGGUUCGCCCGCCACCAGGACCAAACCAUAAACCUUUUUUUUCUUAUGCAGUUUCCAUCAGCGUCAGUAAAAACAAUGUAAUUAUUACAACUUUCAACAACGGAUCUCUUGGUUCUGGCAUCGAUGAAGAACGCAGCGAAAUGCGAUACGUAGUGUGAAUUGCAGAAUUCAGUGAAUCAUCGAAUCUUUGAACGCACAUUGCGCCCUUUGGUAUUCCAAAGGGCAUGCCUGUUCGAGCGUCAUUUGUACCUUCAAGCUUUGCUUGGUGUUGGGCGUUUUUUUGUCUCCCUCUUUCUGGGAGACUCGCCUUAAAACGAUUGGCAGCCGGCCUACUGGUUUCGGAGCGCAGCACAUUUUUUGCGCUUUGUAUCAGGAGAAAAGGACGGUACUCCAUCAAGACUCUACAUUUUUCACUUUUGACCUCGGAUCAGGUAGGGAUACCCGCUGAACUUAAGCAUAUCAAUAAGCGGAGGAA